rnacentral:rRNA from 1 species
UACGAGGGGGGCGAGCGUCGUUCGGAAUUAUUGGGCGUAAAGGGUGCGUAGGCGGUUUGGUAAGUCUUGUGUGAAAUCUCCAGGCUCAACUUGGAGUCUGCACGAGAAACUGCCGGGCUUGAGUGUGGGAGAGGUGAGUGGAAUUCCCGGUGUAGCGGUGAAAUGCGUAGAUAUCGUAAGGAAGACCAGUGGCGAAGGCGGGUCUCUGGACAGUUCCUGACGCUGAGGCACGAAGGUCAGGGGAGCAAACGGG